rnacentral:rRNA from 1 species
AUUGAGCGCUGGCGGCAGGCUUAACACAUGCAAGUCGAGCGGGGUGAUGGUGCUUGCACUAUCACUUAGCGGCGGACGGGUGAGUAAUGCUUAGGAAUCUGCCUAUUAGUGGGGGACAACAUCUCGAAAGGGCUGCUAAUACCGCAUACGUCCUACGGGAGAAAGCAGGGGAUCACUUGUGACCUUGCGCUAAUAGAUGAGCCUAAGUCGGGUUAGCUAGUUGGUGGGGUAAAGGCCUACCAAAGCGACGAUGUGUAGCGGGUCUGAGAGGGUGAUCCGCCACACUGGGACUGAGACACGGCCCAGACUCCUACGGGAGGCAGCAGUGGGGAAUAUUGGACAAUGGGGGGAACCCUGAUCCAGCCAUGCCGCGUGUGUGAAGAAGGCCUUAUGGUUGUAAAGCACUUUAAGCGAGGAGGAGGCUCUUUUGGUUAAUACCCAGAAUGAGUGGACGCUACUCGCAGAAUAAGCACCGGCUAACUCUGUGCCAGCAGCCGCCGUAA